CCUACGGGAGGCAGCAGUGAGGAAUAUUGGUCAAUGGACGAGAGUCUGAACCAGCCAAGUAGCGUGAAGGAUGACUGCCCUAUGGGUUGUAAACUUCUUUUAUAUGGGAAUAAAAUGUUCCACGUGUGGGUUUUUGUAUGUACCAUAUGAAUAAGGAUCGGCUAACUCCGUGCCAGCAGCCGCGGUAAUACGGAGGAUCCGAGCGUUAUCCGGAUUUAUUGGGUUUAAAGGGAGCGUAGGUGGAUUGUUAAGUCAGUUGUGAAAGUUUGCGGCUCAACCGUAAAAUUGCAGUUGAUACUGGCAGUCUUGAGUACAGUAGAGGUAGGCGGAAUGCGUGGUGUAGCGGUGAAAUGCUUAGAUAUCACGAAGAACUCCGAUUGCGAAGGCAGCUCACUAGACUGCAACUGACACUGAGGCUCGAAAGUGUGGGUAUCAAACAGGAUUAGAUACCCCUGUAGUC
rnacentral:rRNA from 1 species